rnacentral:rRNA from 1 species
AUGCCUAACACAUGCAAGUCGAACGGGGGUAGCAAUACCCUAGUGGCGAACGGGUGAGUAACACGAUAAGCAAUCUGCCCUUCGACAGGGGGAUAACAGGCGGGAAACUGCUGCUAAUACCGCAUAAGACCACGGUACCGCAUGGUACAGGGGUAAAAACAUCAGUGGUGAAGGAUGAGCUUAUGUCCCAUUAGCUAGUUGGUGAGAUAACAGCCCACCAAGGCGACGAUGGGUAGCCGACCUGAGAGGGUGAUCGGCCACACUGGAACUGAGACACGGUCCAGACUCCUACGGGAGGCAGCAGUGGGGAAUAUUGGGCAAUGGAAGGAAACUCUUACCCAGCAAUGCCGCGUGAGUGAAGAAGGUCUUCGGAUUGUAAGCUCUUUGAUUGGGGACGAAGAAAGUGACGGUACCCAAAGAACAAGCCCCGGCUAACUACGUGCCAGCCGCCGC